CCCGGGGUCGCGGCUGCGGAGAAGCGUCUCCUAGGCGUGCAAAUGAAGCACUUGACUCGAAUCAGACGCGGUGCCGCUUUCAACGGCAAAAAUCCUGCCUUCGUCACGGGGAAGGAAAAGCAAACGCAACCCGCUUCCGCUGCCUUCCCCACUUUGCGUCUCAGCCGAACCGACGAACCGACGUUCACACCGACACGCUUUCAGUCCUGACUGCCUGCAGGGAUUCUAUGCUGUCCUUCACAGCCCAAACCUUUGCUGCAGCCACGGGAAAGGCGACUAAGAUCCCGCUGUUGCCCCGUUACGUCCAUCUCCUGGAGGAGAGGCGGAUAGCAGCACCCGCUCUGCGCUGCGAGCUGUGCGUUCCAACGGAGCACAUCGGCCCCGCAAGUUGUGAACACAGGCACGGCCCCUGCCCCGCGGGAGCAGCAGGGAUCCAACCAGGCUGCUGGGAAUGGAGAAGUUAACCCACACUGUGGGUAAAAACUGCUGUGAAAAACCCCCUUCUGUACCCUGUUCUUCUACCUGCCUUUAACCCAUCACUAUUUGCAAUUAAUGCAAAUGUUUAUGUAACAGUACUAUUCUUUUUUUUUUUUCCCCUCUCGGUAAAAAUGUGUGACUAAGAAAUCAGUUUCUAAAUAACUACAACUUUCAGGCUGUUUAUUUGCCCAGAGCUGGUUUAUGGAGUAAUACUUCUUUGUCAGUAUCAUUAUUAUGAUUUUUCAGCAGCAACUCAGCAGGCAACGAACGCAUGGCCAGAGAGGCACUUAAGGAGGAGGGACUGAGCCAUUCAGGCAACUGAGAACAGCUACAGCCUCUGGGCAGCUGCCAGUGCUGGAAAACAUCGCUUAAUGCAGACAGGCUACAGAACUAAAGGCAAACAUGAGGAUGGGGGAACAAGGAUUAGGUCUCUCAUCUGUACCAAACAGCCCUUGCUGAGGAAAGCUCUGCAGCCAGCAGUACAAAGAAACAGCAGCGAUAUUCAAAUUUAACUGCAGAAGUAAUACUCCCUUUCUGCACUGGUGCCUUGGGGCUCUCUGAUUUAUUUACACAGAUCAAAAGAAACUCAAUUUAAAAUGACAGAGCAAAGAACCAAGCAGAAACUGUAUAAAGCUAAGUGCCAGAAUUCCACUGUAAUGAAAUGCCUCUGAUCUUAAAAUAGCUGAUAUUGGCAACUAUUUCAUCACAAUCAAGAUUUAAGGCUAUAUACAAACUCUGCAGGUAAAAAAAUCUCCUAUUCAUCACCAGGUUUGUUCAAAAACCAGUUGGACUAUUGCCUUCCAAUAGCAAGAAUGCUUUAACAAUUUCAUUCUUCGCUCAGUACAUUCUUGUUCAAAUCAUUUCGCUCUAUGAGUAACACAAAACUUCCCAAUGGCUUGAAAUUAAUUUCCCUUUUUGUUUGCUUUCUGCUUCUCUUCAUUACACAGAAUAGUUACAAAGCAGCAAUAAACCAAUCUCUGUUCUCUGACGAUACACACAGGUGUUCCUUCACUAAAUACUUUAAACCUGAAACACACCUUAUCAGUAUUAACAGACUACUGCUGAUGAUUAAGGUUUCUUGAACAUCAGACACUUCUAUUAAGCUUGUAAUUGAAAGCUCUGUAAAUUUGACUGUUUCAUAUGGGUCCCUAGAGCAAUUACAUUAAACUCAUGAACUACUGUU